UAGGAAGAUCGAUGCGAGGCAACCUAACUUCUGAAUGGGCGGAUCGCUGUCCUUCAGAAACAGAAGCAAUAUAAGCUUUGUCGUCCAACUUGACUGCAGGUGGAGGCGUCGAAAACUUUUCUAAUGAUUCCAUUAAAAUGGCUUUAUAGUCAAGACAACCUCCACCAACAAUUGCCUCAUGAUAAAAUUUGGCCGAUUUUUCAUCAUCAUUCAACUUAUCUAAGCGUCCUGAUAUGUGUGUCUUUGUCAAGCGUUCUUUUGGCGACUUUUUAAAAUUUUCAAGAUAGGACCACAGAAAUUAAUAUUGACGAGUUUACAACACAAAUUAAGCAAGACUUACUGCGUUGUUUGAAGAUAUUGAUGCUGCUGUUGAAGCUGGUGAUGCCGGUGUAACCUUUACUGCCGCUGUCGAUGUCGCUGCCGCUGUCGCUGUCGCUGCCGCUGUCGCUGUCGCUGCCGCUGUCGAUGUCGCUGCCGCUGUGGAUGUCGCUGCCGCUGUCGCCGCCGCCGCUGUAGUUGAUAUUUAUAUUGUUUAGAUGCAAUUUGCUUGCGAUUUUUAUAUCGCGAUUUAGAUUUAAAGUUUUUUAUGUAAAUAUUUGUAAUUUGUAAAUUGUAUUGUCACAGAUUUACGUUAACACUUUUGAGGUUAUAAAGUAUGACAAAUUAAUAUGUAUAUUUAACUUUUAAAUUUGAUGUUGUUUUUAAGUUAUAAAAUUAAAUUAUUUAAUUAAUUUUGAAUCAAAUAUUUAAAGAAGGCUCGAAGGACCAAUGUGUACUUUGAACAAGAAUUUUUUAUUGAAAAAAAUUAAGAAAAAAAGAGAACAAUUGAAUAAGUUAAACCGCAAAGUUUGAAGGUUAAUUUAAGUAUAAGUUUAUUACAAAGGUUAAAAUAGAAUAUCCAAUUAUAACAUAUAUCUUUGCGUUAACUUUAAUUUGACAUUGAAUUCUUUUAAAUUUUCGAUAAGUUUAAUUUUACAUGCAAAGGUUGGCAAUACUGUUUUUAAAGUUGAAUUUACAUUGCUUUUAUUUAAAUUUGAUUAAUUCUA